rnacentral:rRNA from 1 species
AGAGUUUGAUCAUGGCUCAGGAUGAACGCUGGCGGCGUGCCUAACACAUGCAAGUCGAGCGAUUCUCUUCGGAGAAGAGCGGCGGACGGGUGAGUAACGCGUGGGUAACCUGCCCUGUGCACACGGAUAACAUACCGAAAGGUAUGCUAAUACGAGAUAAUAUGCUUUUAUCGCAUGGUAGAAGUAUCAAAGCUUUUGCGGUACAGGAUGGACCCGCGUCUGAUUAGCUAGUUGGUAAGGUAACGGCUUACCAAGGCGACGAUCAGUAGCCGACCUGAGAGGGUGAUCGGCCACAUUGGAACUGAGACACGGUCCAAACUCCUACGGGAGGCAGCAGUGGGGAAUAUUGCACAAUGGGCGAAAGCCUGAUGCAGCAACGCCGCGUGAGCGAUGAAGGCCUUCGGGUCGUAAAGCUCUGUCCUCAAGGAAGAUAAUGACGGUACUUGAGGAGGAAGCCCCGGCUAACUACGUGCCAGCAGCCGCGGUAAUACGUAGGGGGCUAGCGUUAUCCGGGAUUACUGGGCGUAAAGGGUGCGUAGGUGGUUUCUUAAGUCAGAGGUGAAAGGCUACGGCUCAACCGUAGUAAGCCUUUGAAACUGGGAAACUUGAGUGCAGGAGAGGAGAGUGGAAUUCCUAGUGUAGCGGUGAAAUGCGUAGAUAUUAGGAGGAACACCAGUUGCGAAGGCGGCUCUCUGGACUGUAACUGACACUGAGGCACGAAAGCGUGGGGAGCAAACAGGAUUAGAUACCCUGGUAGUCCACGCCGUAAACGAUGAGUACUAGCUGUCGGAGGUUACCCCCUUCGGUGGCGCAGCUAACGCAUUAAGUACUCCGCCUGGGAAGUACGCUCGCAAGAGUGAAACUCAAAGGAAUUGACGG